GUGGGAGUAGUUCAGUUGGUAGAGCCCCUGAUUGUGGAUCAGGUGGUCGCCGGUUCAAGUCCGGUCUCCCACCCCA
rnacentral:tRNA from 2 species